AUUGAACGCUGGCGGCAUGCCUAACACAUGCAAGUCGAACGGUAACAGGCUAAAGCAAUCCCUUCGGGGUGCGCUGUGCGCUGACGAGUGGCGGACGGGUGAGUAAUGCGUAGGAAUCUACCUUCAAGUGGGGGAUAGCCCGGAGAAAUCCGGAUUAAUACCGCAUGUUCUCUACGGAGAAAAGCGGGCCUCUGAUUCAAGCUCGCGCUUGGGGAUGAGCCUACGUCGGAUUAGCUAGUUGGUGGGGUAAAGGCCUACCAAGGCGACGAUCCGUAGCUGGUUUGAGAGGAUGACCAGCCACACUGGGACUGAGACACGGCCCAG
rnacentral:rRNA from 1 species